CUAUUCAUCUGUUUCUGGGGACUAUCAAGAUAAUAACAUUUGCAGAAUAAUUGGCAUCACUGACUAUUUAAAUGUAUUUUAGGGAUAGUAGGUGGGGUGAACAAUCUUCCUGUUCCUGGGGACCAAAUCUGAAAGGAUAAGGUCAUCCCUGAAGCACUUUACUGUUGGACCUGCUGGAGAGCUAGGGGCAAAUUCAUCAAAAAAUAUCUUCAGACAUUUGGCUGGUGCUGAAGUACUACAGCUGUGGCCCGUACAGCUGUUGGGGAGUGAACGCCGCAGGGAAUAUCGCCAUCAGAAGGUCUGUAACGGGUGCUUCCUGUGGAGGGUCGGGUGUUUUUGAGGCCAUUGCUGGAGCUCUGUUCAUGGUCGAAGUAGAUGCUGACGGCAACGUCUUUGGUGUUGACACUCAGGGGAAUUUAGUGCAAAUAGUCGGUGUCACUAUAUCACACAGACAUUGUCAUCUGUCUCAAUGGCCACAAGCAUGUGACUUUUGAUCUGGGGAGGCUGUAUGUCAUCUGUAGUGAUGGAUCCAUCAUGAGAUGCAUUUAAAUGUCCAACAGUGGAACUCAACUAUCAUUAUAAACACAAAUUCCUUUUCUUUCUACUUAAAUCCUCUGUUGUUGAACAAAUACAUUUUAUGAUUUAUGGUUUUACGUGACUUUUGAAGUGU